GGGCACUGUCUCAACGAGAGACUCGGUGAAAUCAUAGUACCUGUGAAGAUGCAGGUUACCCGCGACAGGACGGAAAGACCCCGUGGAGCUUUACUGUAGCCUGAUAUUGAAAUUCGGCACAGCUUGUACAGGAUAGGUAGGAGCCUUUGAAACGUGAGCGCUAGCUUACGUGGAGGCGCUGGUGGGAUACUACCCUAGCUGUGUUGGCUUUCUAACCCGCACCACUUAUCGUGGUGGGAGACAGUGUCAGGCGGGCAGUUUGACUGGGGCGGUCGCCUCCUAAAAGGUAACGGAGGCGCUCAAAGGUUCCCUCAGAAUGGUUGGAAAUCAUUCAUAGAGUGUAAAGGCAUAAGGGAGCUUGACUGCGA
rnacentral:rRNA from 1 species